rnacentral:tRNA from 1 species
AAGACUUUAAGUUAAAUAAACUAAAAACCUUCAAAGUUUUAAAUGAGUUCCUCAAGUCUUG